UGUUUGUGGAACUGAAUAGGUGUAUUGCUUUUUAAAGUAGACUGUCAAUACAAGUUAAGUUAUUUAUAAGAGAGUACUUUAUAUCAUCAAUUAAUGUUGUCAGUAUUACAAAAUAUAAGUCGAUCAUAUAGUUUACUUCUUUGGAUUUCAUGACGAAUGUACGUGAUUAUUAAGUACAGAUUCUCGACAAGAGGCCGUUCAACCAGGAGACGGGGGUGGCGACUCUGAUCAUGGAGAUCGUAGAGAAACAGCUUUCUACAACGAAAUCCGUGCUAUUCACUCGUACGUUGCCCAAGAGGUCUCUGUGACCGGUACCAGCGCCAAUGACCAGGAUGCACAUGAAGUCACCACGAGUCUGAGAGGGCUGAUACCUCCACCUAAUUUGUAGAACGCCUACAAGGGAUUGCCUUGACGAUCCUGUUCGAGUUUCAAACCAAGAGAUUACGAAUGCGGCCAUGCGUUUGCACAGCCAUUCCGUGUAUGGGUCGCAUAGUAUGCUAGCGUUUAACCGUGCUAUUUACCAACAGCCAACCGUUAUUUCGGGGAUUAUCCGACAUAGAUAACGUGUUGACAGUCAUGUGGAAAGUCAUGUAUAGUUGGAAUCACACAUAGUAAAAAAAAUACCGAACGAUGUUUAUGUUUACCGAACGAUGUUUAUGUUUACCAAACGAUGUUUAUGUCUUCCAUAAAGCUCUAUUUUAGGUUAUUACAUAGCAUAACAGUUUAUCUUAAAAUAUAUCUUUAAUGAAGCGUGCAUUAAAAAUGUGUUUCGGUCACUCGAUAUUGAGGUGUGUCUUAAAAUGUAUAUUCGACAGGGCAUGCAUUUUAAAGUAUUUCAGGCACUUGCAUUUGAAGUUUUCUUACAUAGGGCAUGCAUUUUAUAUAUUUCAGUCACUCGCAACUGAAUUUUGUUUUACCUCCAACAGGGCAUGCAUUUAAAUGUAUUUCAUGCACUAGCAAUUGAUUUUUUUCUUCAAAUAUAUCUUCCAUAGGGCAUGCAUUCAAAUGUAUUUAAGUCAUUUGCAGUUUUGUCUUUAAAAAGUUUACAUGUAACUUCCACAGGGCAUGCUUUUAAAUGUAUUGCAGAACUCGCAAUUGAUGUUUUUUCUGAAAAUGUAACAUCCAUAUGGCAUGCUUUUAUAUGUAUUGCAGAACUCGCAAUUAAUGUUUGUCUAAAAAUGUAACUUCCAUAGGGCAUGCUUUUAAAUGAAUUGAUGUAUUGCAGAACUCGCAAUUAAUGUUUGUCUGAAAAUGUAUCCUCCAUAGGGCAUAUAUUUAAACAUGUUUUAGUCACUCUCAAGAGAAGUUUGUCUGAAAAAUAUGUAUUCCAUAUUAUAAAGCGUGCACUUACAUGUAUUUCAGACACAAUAUAACCAAUUAAAAUUUACUUAAGAAUGUAUCGUUCAUAAUGCGUGCAUUUAUUUUUUUCAAAAUCUCGAACAUUUAUUUGUCUUAAAAUGUAUCUUCCAUGGAGCAUACACUUGAAAUAGUUCAUUCACAAGCAAAUAUAGUCUUAAACUAUGUAUCCUAUAGCACUUUUUUUCAGUCACUAUAACAAUUUAAGUUUGUCAUACGAUAUAUAACCCAUCGGAAUUGUAUAUUUGAUGUAAACAUUCAUGAAUAUGAAUAAUAUGUAUUCUAAUUAUAAUAAUGAAUGCAAAUAAACGUAAAUUAUUAUGU